rnacentral:lncRNA from 1 species
GUUAUAGGGGUUGUAUGAGGUUGUAUGGGGUUUGUAUGGUGUUGUAUGGGGUUAUAGGAGGUUGGUAUGGGGUUCUAGGGUUUGUAUGGGGUUAUAGGGAAUUGUAUGGGGUUAUAUGGGGUUAUGGCAUUUGUAUCGGGUUGUAUGAGGUUAUAGGAGUUGUAUGGGGUGAUAUGGGGUGGAUAUGGGGGAUCUAUGGGGGAUCUAUGGGGGAUCUCUCUAUGGGAUCUCUAUGGGGGUGUCUAUGGGGUCUCUAUGGGGUCUCUAUG